GUGUUGAGAAGUUCCUAGUGACCCCCUGUAUCUGAAACAGUAUAUAAACUUUGUAAGGCUACCUACUGUCACACUGGCAGCUACAGCAGACACUGCUUGAAGACGAGAAAGUGAGCAAUCAAGCAAGAAAUCAGAAGUAUCAAAUAAACACAAGAAGAAAGCGAUGGAGGGAAUCUACGCUCGAAGCAGCUGCAUUCUGGCUGUCAUUAUGAUCAGCUUUGUAUAUAUGUUGAAUAGCUGGCCUACAUCAACAGAUAGCAAUGAUUAUGAGCCUGGUGUUCCUUGCUAUUGGAGAUGUCCAUUGGUAUUUGAUGACUGCUUGAAAAUGGGAGAGUCACAAAAAAAGUGUUACCAGGUCUACAAAGAAUGUGGGCGUGCAUGUCGAAAGGAAGCACUAAGGAGCGUCAACGAUAAAAGUAACGUCAGACAAUGCCAGAAGAAAUGUUACGGAUUCUACCAGCAAUGCAUCACUAUAUCUGAUUCGGAAGAAUCACACAUUCUUUGCCUGAAUGCCAAAAAUGAAUGUUUCGAUUUUUGCUAGUUGAAUAUCUGUAACCCAGGUUCAAAUUAACAGUCUAGGGGUAUUCUCCACGGUCAAACUUGAUUUGAUAUUUCUAUGCAGUGUAGAGAUUUCGUUUUAAAAGAUUAACAUUGAAAUAUUAACAUUAACUGAUUUUACCGUAUUCAGUUUUAUUCAAGCAACCUUUUUACAGUGAGCAAUUUGUGUAUCACUAGCUGUAGGCAUUUGCUAAUUUUUUUUCGUCUUUGUGCUUGAUAUAUCAAUGUAUUUGUUAGAGCAAUACACUCUCUUUUAAAGCAAGGCUGAUCAAUUUUGUGAAGCGUUCUUCCUUUGUACAUAAUAUUGAUUGGUGUAUAGCAAUGAUUCA